rnacentral:rRNA from 1 species
UACGUAGGGUGCGAGCGUUGUCCGGAAUUAUUGGGCGUAAAGAGCUCGUAGGCGGUUUGUCGCGUCUGCUGUGAAAACUCGGGGCUUAACCCUGGGCCUGCAGUGGGUACGGGCAGACUAGAGUGCGGUAGGGGAGACUGGAAUUCCUGGUGUAGCGGUGAAAUGCGCAGAUAUCAGGAGGAACACCGGUGGCGAAGGCGGGUCUCUGGGCCGUAACUGACACUCAGGGACGAAAGCUAGGGGAGCGAAUGGG